UGCGCAGGCGGGCUUGUAAGUCAGUGGUGAAAUACUGCCGCUUAACGGUGGAACUGCCAUUGAUACUGCAAGUCUUGAAUAUGGUUGAGGUAGGCGGAAUGUGUUGUGUAGCGGUGAAAUGCAUAGAUAUGACACAGAACGCCGAUUGCGAAGGCAGCUUACUAAGCCAUUAUUGACGCUGAGGCACGAAAGCGUGGGGAGCGAACAGGAUUAGAUACCCUGGUAGUCC
rnacentral:rRNA from 1 species